rnacentral:tRNA from 1 species
UCCCUGGAAGUCUAGUGAUAAAGACUCUACGCCUCCAAUGCAAGGAACUUGGGUUCGACUCCUGGUCAGGGAA